rnacentral:rRNA from 1 species
GUGUCAGCAGCCGCGGUAACACGUAGGCUCCAAGCGUUGUCCGGAUUUAUUGGGCGUAAAGAGCUCGUAGGCGGUUUAGUAAGUCGGGUGUGAAAACUCUGGGCUUAACCCAGAGACGCCACCCGAUACUGCUAUGACUUGAGUACGGUAGGGGAGCGGGGAAUUCCUGGUGUAGCGGUGAAAUGCGCAGAUAUCAGGAGGAACACCAGUGGCGAAGGCGCCGCUCUGGGCCGAAACUGACGCUGAGGAGCGAAAGCGUGGGUAGCAAACAGGAUUAGAUACCCUUGUAGUCC